AUUGAACGCUGGCGGCAGGCCUAACACAUGCAAGUCGAACGGUAACAGGAAGCAGCUUGCUGCUUUGCUGACGAGUGGCGGACGGGUGAGUAAUGUCUGGGAAACUGCCUGAUGGAGGGGGAUAACUACUGGAAACGGUAGCUAAUACCGCAUAACGUCGCAAGACCAAAGAGGGGGACCUUAGGGCCUCUUGCCAUCGGAUGUGCCCAGAUGGGAUUAGCUAGUAGGUGGGGUAACGGCUCACCUAGGCGACGAUCCCUAGCUGGUCUGAGAGGAUGACCCGCCACACUGGAACUGAGACACGGUCCAGACUCCUACGGGAGGCAGCAGUGGGGAAUAUUGCACAAUGGGCGCAAGCCUGAUGCAGCCAUGCCGCGUGUAUGAAGAAGGCCUUCGGGUUGUAAAGUACUUUCAGCGGGGAGGAAGGGAGUAAAGUUAAUACCUUUGCUCAUUGACGUUACCCGCAGAAGAAGCACCGGCUAACUCCGUG
rnacentral:rRNA from 1 species